AGGCCUGGCUCCCAACACCAGAAGGACAGAAAGAUGGCUGAGCUUGCUGCAUAACAACCACGAGGGGAACUUGUCAGAAAUACAGAUCCCAGGUUCCAGGUCCCAGGUCCCAGUGAGUCUCACUCAGUAAGUCUUUGCUCCUGCCUAGGAAUCUGUGGUUCAAGCAAGCAUCCCAGGGUAAAGAACCAUCAAAGCAUUUGUCUUUUAAUGGCAGUGAUAGCUGAUCCCUCCUGAGUGAUUAAGAUGUGAAUUGUCAAUCACUGAAACCAUCCUGUACUGAGUUAAAAACCACAAAGGUCACCAGAAGAGAGAUUCCUGAGAUGGAUUUGAAUUCUGGCAAAACCAACGUUAGGCCAGCCAAGGAGCAUAUUGGAGAAAGAGAUUGGUAUUUAAUAAGCAUCGCGGGGACAGUUGGCUAACAGGCCAGGGGAGAGUUAAUUUAAAUUCAUACAGCAUACCUGUCAAGUUCAGCUAUAUCGUACUGCUAAUCUGUGACAAACCUGGAGACAAGGAACUGGCAUUGUUACCCCUGCUGCUGAUAAGGAGAUAAAUUCCUGGCUAUUGAAGAAAAAGAUACCAUCAGGGCUCUGAUAGAUGGGUUCAAAUAUGUGAGAAUAAAAAUGUUUGCAUUGCAA
rnacentral:lncRNA from 1 species